rnacentral:lncRNA from 1 species
AAAAUGCCACUGGGAGAAAACCCAACAUCUUCCAAGCAUGAAAUCUGAAAACACGGCCUGAAUCAUCAGCAUGACAAAUUACAAAGCAUAAUAACUAGCUCAAACUCCAUAAGAAAAUGUCAUUUACCAUAAUACCAAGAAAACUCUAACCGUCUGUCUGGUUGCUGAGAGCAUUAAGUAAAACACAUGAAAAUAAAAUGCUAAACGACAUGUUUUACUCUGUUUUAGUUUCACAAAAAGCAAACCAAACAUCAACUAAGUGAAAUAGAUGUAGUCACCUCACCUAUGAAAGGAUAUAUGAUUCAUUUCCUCCCAGGUUCCUAACCAUGAAAAACCACUCAUAAAUAAUCAGAUUCUUUUUUCCUUUUCCUUUCCUCCAUUUUUCUCUGCAACCAAAUACAACUAAGUAGACUCAGGCAUGCACUUCAACAGAACAAAGCACAACUAUGGAAAUCUGGGGAAUUCACAACUACGCACUCUGACUCCCAGAUCUACCACCAACAAAAAUUCAAACUGAAAACAUAAAAAAGAAAAGAAAAACAACGCCAAAGAUAAAAAGAAUUAAGAAUAUCAUCACCUUCAUGAUUGUUUUCAGUUUGUUCUUGUGUAUCUUUUGUUUGUUUUAUUGCUAAUUUAGUGGAUCUUUUGUGUUCGAGUCAUUUUCUAGUUUGUUAGUAGAGUUAAUAUUCAGCUAGAUUAUUGUUCUAGGCAGUAGUUAGGGUGUCUUGAGGGAAAAUCAAGGCCUCACCUUAGAUUUUUCUAACCUCAUUGAUAAGCAUAGUCCUAGUUAGCUUAUUAGCAACUUCUAUUACCUUAUAAAAUGAAGCUGAGUAGCGCUGUACAAGGAGUAAGGGACAGUUCUUGAACACCGAAGGGUUCUACAUUCCUUUCUCGCAUACACUCUGCACAAUACUUCUUUGUUUUAAGGUGCAGAGUUAGACUUUUAACAGCCAUGAAAGACUCCAAAUAAGCCACAUUUAAUCUUAGGAAUUGAAUAAGAUGCUACUCAGGUUCAAAGAGAGUGUCAAGGUCUCUUCUGCUAAGGUGAUAGUCGAGGUUCAACAAUGUUUUCCCAAAAAUAUUUUCUUUCCAAUCCUUCUUGCAUCCUGUCCAACUGAUUCUGUUGCUUCCGUAUUCUUUGGAUAGUUUGUACAACCUGUAUGACUUCUAACGUCACGGGCAUGAAAUUCCUACACAACCUUUUGCAUCUCUGCAGUGCUUAGAAGCCCUCUAAGCCAACCUGCACUUCCCAUAUGAGAUGUCAAUAAGGAACAACCCACAAAAGCACACACGAGAUUAGAGGGCUCCAAUCCCAACUUGUAUUUUAUUUCUUGUGUGAAUAAUAACACAAGACAUUGUUUAGCAAGACUCCUACAAUAGCACUAACGAGUCCAUACUUCCUCGUCUGCAUCCUAAGAGACUCUCCUGUCCCCUUCUUAUAGGUAUGGCACCCCCUAUUCCCUACUUGACUAGGAGUACAGAUUCCUAGUUCUACUCAAACUCUUACUCAUAGGCUGUGGCACCAACCACUCCUCUUUGGACUAGGGACAAGCAAUCCUAGUUCUACUUAGACUACAAUUACAAGAAGAAUUUGAAUUCCUACUCAAACUCAAAUUGCAGUCCCACUUCAAGUCUGACUCUUCAUGUUGCUGCUGCUUGCAUCACAAUGUGGCUCAUGUGCAUGUCAAGCCCUCUCUUGGCUUUCACAUCUAGAUCACAUCCAUGCCGAGGCAACAUGAAGAUGCAUUCGUCUUGUUGUUGCUAUGGAUCCGUGCCUUGCCCAAGCCCUCUCCUUGGUGCAGCGAUGUGUCAUGGCAUUACACCAAUGACUCUUUUUCAUGCACAAGGCAUUGGGCCCUUGUGCCAUGCAUUAAGCAUAAUAUCUAAGUCAGCAUCAUUGCUAUUGCAUCGUUAUUCCUUGCUUAAGCCUUCUUCUUGGUGCAACAAUGUGUCAUGACAUUGCAUCCAUGGCUCACAAAGUUGCCUCUUUGCACAAGGAAUUGAGCCCUUAUGCCACCUUGUCGUUGUGAUAGGUAACUCAUGGAACCAAUGUGCUAUCUCAUGAGGCCUUGGUGCCACAACCAUUGUGUCAAGGGGCUAACAAACCACCCCCACCUGCUGUAGUUGAUGCCCUGUCGACUUAGAUUGUAGGUAGGCCUAGAUUGCCUCCUCAAAUUGCCAUUACAUAACAUCCCACUCCUAAUUGGCUUUUGAUUUAGGACUGCCCUUCCUCUAAACUAGAAAAUCUGUUCUAGAAUUUUUCUUGCUCAUCCCCAUUGUUUGAUGAUCCAAUAUCCUCUCAGCCUCGCAAUUAAACCACCUUCUGAUCACAAGUAGAGCACAGUCUGCCUAUAUCUUUCCUAGAAUCAAAUCUUCAGGGUAAGGCUUCAAGAAACUCACGUGUAUUAUAGGAUGUAUCUUUAGCUUGUUUGGUAGCUUAAUCCUAUAAGCUACUUAACCCACCAUUUGCAUUACUUCAAAGGGUCCAUCAUACUUAGGGAUCAAACCCCUCUAUGCAGUCUUGAUGUUGAUUUUCUUCCAAAUCUGAGGCAUUAAUUUUAGAAGGACCUUGUCCUUGAUCUAAAAUUCCAAGGGUCUUCUACCCUUGUUUGUAUACUUUUGCAUCCUUCUCGCUACCUUCUUUAAGCUCUUAUGAGCUUCAUCAAGCAUUUCUUGUCCGGACCAUAUAUAUCUAUAAGUUAUUGGACAAGCACCUCCAGACUUCUACUUGGCCACCUCUAAGGGCAUGAUUGGUUGCUACCCUAUGGCCAUUUCUAAGGGAAUUUUCCCUAUUUUUGAACUCUUCUGCAAAUUUUAGGACAAUUGAGCUACAUUUACCAAAUCAAUUCAAUUCUUCUAUAUUGCAUAAACAUAGUGUCUUAGGUACUCUUUUAACAAAGUGUUGAUACCCUUUGUUUGCCUAUCUGUUUGUGAAUAAUUCGUUGUAGGGAAUUUCAACUUUGAACCUAGGAGUUUGAAUAGUUCAAUUUAGAAGAGUCUAACGAAUCAUGCAUCACGAUCACUAACAAUAUCUUUAGGCAUUCUGAAAUACUUGACCACAUGGCUAAAGAACAACCUAGCUGCUUCCUUCGUGAGGCAAGCAUGUGGUGUAGGUAUGAAAACAACGUAUCUGAGAAUCUAUUUACUAUCAUGAAGAUAUAUUUUAAUUCUUCCACUUUUGAAAAGCCAUCAAUGAAGUUCAUUGAACAUAUUUUCUCAAGGUCUCUUUAGGAUGGGUAGAGGUUAUAGUAACCCUGUUGUUUUUUGUUUUUUGUCUUGUCUAACUAGCGUACCAAACAAGACCUUAUAUACACUUAGCCACCAUAUCCCAUCUUUAGCCAAUAAUAGGACCUAGAGUGUAAUGCCAAAUUUUGUUCUUCACUAGGAUAUCCUAUCCAUUUCUUAUCAUAGGUCUCUUUUAAUAGCUUCUUCCCCAAGUUGUUUCCUGGUAUGCAUAGUCUGCCUCCUUUAUCCACCAAGAGGUCAUCCUCUAACCAAUAUUUUCUAGUGGAACCAUCUCUAACAUGUUGCCUUAUUUUCUCAUAGGUCGGAUCAAGCUUGGUUGCCUACUUGAUCCUAUCAUUGAAGUUAGAGAUCACAUGUGAUGGUGUCAUCACAUACUUUGUUAUUUCCUUCUAGCUUAAGGCAUCCUUAACUACAUCAUGUCUUCUUGGUCAAUGCAUCCAUUUGAAUUUAAAGUCGACCAAGAACUCUUACCAUCCAGCCUACUUCAAGCUCAACUUCUUCUAGGUCUUGAAGAAGGUGUUAGCCACGAUGUUUGUGACUAUAGUAAAUAUACUCCCUAAAAUAAUGUUUCCACUAUUACAAGCAAUGGAUAACUACAAUCAUCUCCUUCUCGUGAGUGGAGUACCUUUGCUCUGCCUCAUUGAGCUUCCUACUUUCAAAGGCUACUGAGUGCCUUUCUUACACCAAGACCAAGACCCUUCCUAAGGCCCUCACAAAUGCAUCUGUGUGAACAUCAAAGUGGAGGUCCAAGUCUGGCAAAUGUAGUACCCGAUCGGUCUCAAUCACCACUUUUAGUUUCUCAAAAUCUUUAUGGCACUUUAUGCCCCAAUCCUAACGAGCACCCUUCUUCAAAAAGUCCUAUGAACCUUCAGUAGUAGUUUGCUAACCUUAAGAGGUCUUAAUUAUAUCAUUUUACCUACAACAAACCAAUCUCUAAUGGCUUGGACUUUAACUUCAUCCAUAUUAAUUAAUCCUUCCCCUAUCUUAUGUCCUAGAAAGGUGAUCUACCUCUAUGUAAACUGACAUUUUCCCCUUUCCACGUAGAGUUUGUACUCUAUCAAUCUUUGGAACACUAAUUUUAGGUGGUUUGAAUCCUCUUGCAAAGUCUUACUAUAGGUAACAACAUCAUCUAAAUAGACCACAAUAAAGGCAUCAAGGUACUUGUACACCAUAUCGUUUAUCAUGUUGCAGAAUGUCACUGAGACAUUGGUCAGUCCAAAUGACAUCACGAGGAACUCAUAUGAUCCAUAGUGGGUUAUACAUAUGGUCUUCUCCUUGUCCUCCUUUUCAAUCCUUACUUGUUAGUAUCUUAGCCACAAGUACAGUUUAGAGGAAAAUGUUGUCUUGGCCAAUUUAUUGAAUAACUCUUUCUUAAAGGGGAUUAGAUAUUUAGUCUUGAUUGUAACCUUGGGUAAGGCUUUGUAAUCGAUACACAUCCAUAGGGUUCCAUCUUGAUUCUUUUGGAAUAGGAUAAGGGCAUAGUAGGGAGCCUUAAAAGGUUUGAUCAAAGUUGUAUCCAAUAGCUCAUUUAAUUGCUUUCUUAAUUCCAACAAUUCAAAGAAGACAUCUGAUAUGGGAUCUAUGUAGGAGGCUAGGUUCCUAGUAGCAUCUCGAUCUUAUGGUCUAUAUGGCACUUAAGAGACAACUCCUUAGGUAGUUCCACAAGUAUCAUAUCUUUAAAUUCCUUCAGAAUUUGAGUCAUUAUAUUUAGCACUUCCACUAGUUAGUUUGUCUUGUUCUCAACUAAGGUUGUAACAUAUGUGAUGUCCCCAUACUUCGACCCUUUCUUUAUUUAAAGGGCAAUCACCAUCUCUAUCGGUCCUUUCCCCGUUCUCGUUUCCCAUAAAGUAGGCACAAAACAAAGUUGACUCCCUUCCAUGAUCAUCAACCCACCAAGGUGUGGGAACAGGGCCACCUUUGCCUUGAGGAAAAAGCCGAUCCCCAAGAUCAAGUCGAAGUCAUCUAAGGGCUCACAAAGUAAGCUAUAGUUGCCCUUCCAAUCUCCUACUUGUGAGACUUCCUUAUAAAUGUCAUUAAUUCUUUAGUCUUUGUUAUUUACUGCCUUGAUCCAACCGGUAUCUUGUUCCAACCCUAACUUUGUUGAAUCCCUGCUAGCCACAAAGUUGUGGGUUUCUCCCCACUAUCCAUGAUUACUUUCACCCGUAUGCCAUUCACCAAAACCUGGACAUGCAUCAACCCUUUUUCGAUAGGGGCAUCAAUGUGGAUCUCAUUCAAGAGUUGCAGAGGAUUGACUCUUAAAGGCACAUUCAAGUUUGAGUCACCACUACCUUUCGCAAUCACAAGGGUCGAUAACUUCUCCCUCUUCAGAUAAUCCUUGGCGGCACAAUAAGAGCCAUUAUAGAUGAAACAACUCAGGUUUUGGAUGUCUAUUGUCGGGACUUGGUGGUUUUCUCCACUUGUUAUGGCUCUACUAUGGACUUCUUUGAAUUCUUCCAACCUGACUUCUUAAAAGAAUUUCCCUCUGCCUUGGUUCUCUUUGUUCCCCCUGACUUGUGUUUCUAAUCAAUGGAAGUGGCAGCAACCAUGCAUCUUGUAGUUCACCAAACAAUCUACUACAGUCAUUACACCAGGAAGGUCACAUACCUCUCGCCUUCACAAUUUGGUUUAGACUAACCCCUAUAGCCUAAACAUGAAGUUAAAAAAUUUAUCUUCCUCAGACAUAUUUUUAAUAUCCAAGAUCAAAGAACUAAAUUACUUGACAUAUUCCUAUAUUGAACUAGUGUGUCUUAGUUUUUUUAGUUAUUCUCGAGCCAACCAUGUCAUGUUGGUGGGGAUGAAUUAAUUCUUCAAUUUCUUCUUUAGACUCCCAAGUGGCGAUCUAGGGCCUUCUUAACUUUGCAUUGUACUCAGCAUUGGUCCACCAUCAUAGCUUCAGAUCAUUAGGUACAUACUGGUGAUAGUGACCAUCUACGUCUCACGGAUUCGAGUAACUUUAAAAUAUUACUCCAUAUCUGUAAGAAGUUUUCUAGUUCCUUGGCAUUCCAACUUGUUGCCAUUGAAACCCUUUGGUUUUAGGAUAUGAAUUUUGGGAGAGGCUUCCAAACUAGAGUGAGGUUCUUGCAACACGAUCUUAUGAAGGAUCACUAUAGAUUGUAUAAUGGUCAAGAAGUCAUCUAGUAAGGCUUUCACUUUUGGCCUUUGAACCUGCCACCUUGUUCUCAAUGAAUUGGUCGUGGGACUCUAACAAAUUCCGUUAUACUAGGAUUUCUUCCUCAGUGUGGUUUGCCUUUAGGGACAUAAUGCCCUUAUCACCUUACAAUUCUCCUAACAAUUCUUCCAAUCACAACAUCUUUUCUCUCGAGUCACUAUAGUAAUUCCCCCACCCAUUUGCUUGUUGGACUUUGAUAUCAAUGGUCACGAGCACGAAAUUCUCACACAACUUUUCGCAUCUGUGAGGAGCUUAGAAGCCCUCUAAGCUAACUUGCACUUCUCACACGAGAUGGCAACAAGGAACAACCCAUAAAAGCACAUAAAAGAUUACGGGGUUUCAACCCUAAUUUGUAUUUUAUUUCCUCACUGAAUAAUAAUAUAAAACAUUGUUUAGCAAGACUCCCACAAUAGCAUUAGUAAGUUCACGCUUCCUCUCUUAUAUCCUAAGAGGCUCUCCCAUCCCCUUCUUAUAGGUGUGGCACCACUCACUCCCUAUUUGACUAGGAAUACAUGAUCAUAGUUCUCCUACCACCAACCACUCCUCCUUGUACUAGGGACAAGUAGUCCUAGUCUUACUCAGACUACAAUUUUAAUAAGUAUUUGAAUUCCUACUCAAACUAAAAUUUCAAUCCCAUUUUGAGUUUGACUCUUCAUGUUGCUUUGCUUGCAUCCCAAUGCGGUGUGUGUGCGUGCUAAGCCCUCUAUUGGCUUGCAUAUCUAGAUCACGUCCAUGUUGAGGCAACAGAUCACAUCCAAAUCCACCUUGUUGUUGUUAUGGCUCCUUGUAUUGCCCAAACCCUCUUCUUGGUGUAGUAACGUGUCAUGACAAUGCACCAAUGACUUUUUUUCUAUGCACAAGUUAUUGGGCACUUGUGCCAAGGGUCAAGCAUCCUAUCUGAGUUGGCAUUAUUGCUGCCCUCUGACCUUUAAGGAAGAAAAAGGUCGUUCUGGCAAGCAUUGUUACUGGAAAAUUUGAAAGUUCUUAGUAAUCAGUUUCCUAUAUCAUCGUCUACUUGCUUGGUACUAAAGUAAUUAAUCGUUAAGCAUUCUAGAAGGUUUAGUCAUUUGCUAGUUCUCAAUAUUAAUGUUUAAACAAAAAACUAUCCAAACACCUCCUCAUGUAACCUCUUUAGCAAAAGAUCUCAAACCUAAUGUAACUAAAAUGGGAGUCUAGUCUUUAAAUCUCUUCUAUUUUGAAUUUGCAAACAAAAGGCCCUUCAAAUUUUAUAAGAGAAGAAUAGGAUGGUUCUAACACCCAAACAUUAAUUGGGGAUAGAAAUGAGAAUUUAAGCUCCUUUUGGAAUUUUAUGUAGUUGAUUUAGGUCUCAGCAUAUGCUUAUUUUAACUAGGGUAGUUAAUUUACUAAUCUCCAUAUCAAUGGUAUAUGGACUACAUUGGUAGUCCAUGGUCCUUUUAAUUUAGAGUCUUAUAUUUGUUAUUAGGGUUGAUUUGGUAGUUUACUUCUUUGCCAAUUUCUAUUUCUUUUAGCUCCUAAUGAAGAAAUAUUCUCAUAACUACAUAUAUAGAUCAAACUUGUAAUUCUUGUUUCUCUAACUAGGUUUGAUUCUUCAACUUGUUCCUCUUGGAUUUCUUCUACCCUUUACUUUUUUCCUACUAGAGGGUUGGUUCAUUGACACCUCAACUCAAGAAUGGAAUAUCAGAUUUUUGAAAAUGGUUUCCCGGAAUGUAAUGGACAUAAUUCAAGGUUUGGUUACCGUCACAAAUUUGAAAUUCUAGACAAUGUUCAUUCUCAUUCUGAUAUUUGGUUAUAUGAGGAAUUAUGUUGGAACUAAUCCAUAUUUACGAAAUUGUUUUUUAAAUGAUAUUAAAAAGAAUUAUUUUUAUUUAUAUAAAAGAAUCUAUGGUGUAUACUUAUAGCAUUGAAAAGUUUUUUGAGUUCUAUAAUAAGAAAUGAUUUCCAAUUAUAAUAAUCAAUUGACAUGAUCAUCAUCAGUCAAUUAUCUUGCUAACCCACAAUUUUCUUAACAAAUAAUAAUAAUCCACGCUUGCAAACAACAAAAACUUCACAAUAUUUAGUAAUAUCAAUCCAACAAAGCUAAUAUGAAACACAAAACUUUAUGACAUGGAUAUAAUAACUUCAGCUAUGAGGAGGUUUGUGGAAGUUGUAGAUGAUCUAGGCCUUGUGGACCUUCAAUUGCAAGGGGGUGCAUUCACGUGGACUGGGGGUCUAAAUAAUAUGUCAAGGGCUCGUCUAGAUAGAUUUCUGGUCUCUCCUUGCUGGCUUGAUCAGUUCAGUAGGGUGAGCCAAUAGAGACUUCCUAGGCCAAUUUCGGACCACUUUCCAAUAUUACUUGAGGGGGUAGUUGGAGGAGAGGGCCUACCCCCUUCAGAUUUGAAAAUAUGUGGUUCAAAGUCGAGGGGUUUAAGGAAUUAAUACGGAGUUGGUGGUAGAGAAUAGAGGUCAGGGGUAGUACCAGUUUUAGAUUAUCGGCGAAAUUGAAGGAUCUGAAGCAGAAGCUUAAAGUUUGGAAUAGGGAGGAGUUUGGUAAUCUGGAAAGCAAUAAGGAGGCUGCGAUUUAGCAAGUGGAGUAUUAGGACAGAGUAGAGGAUGAAAGGAGCUUGUCAAUGGAGGAAUUAGCUUGUAAGAAGGAAGCCAAUGAGGAGUAUGCCAAGUGGGUUGAUCUGGAAGAAACUCACUGGAGGCAGGCGUCUAGGGAACUUUGGUUGAAGGCAGGUGAUAGGAAUACGAGAUACUUCCACCGUAUGGCGUCUGCCCACAGGAGAAUUAAUCACAUGGAUAGAAUUAAAAUAAAUGGGAUUAGGCUGACAGAGGAGCGAGAAAUUAGAGAGGGGGUUGUAAAUGCUUUUAAGCAGCAAUUUUCCGAGAGUUCAGGGUGGAAGGCGGACAUUGGAAGCCUCUCUUUUAAUCAAAUUUGUGUGCAAGAGGCAGAGAUGCUGGAGGCUCCCUUCUUUGAGGGUGAAGUCCAGCUGGCCCUGAUGGAAAUGAAUGGGGAUAAAGCCCCAGGUCCUGACGGGUUCUCUGUUUUCUUUUGGCAAUGCUGUUGGGAUUUCGUCAAGGAGGAAAUUCUGGAGAUGUUUAAGGAGUUCCAUGACCAGAAUACGUUCUUCAAGAGUAUUAACAACACCUUUCUGGUGCUGAUUCCUAAGAAAGGAGGGGCUGAGGAUUUUGGAGAUUUCAGGCCCAUCAGCCUUUUGGGGGGCCUCUAUAAGCUGUUGGCAAAGGUGUUGGCCAACAGACUUAAGAAAGUGAUAGAUAAAGUAGUUUCCCAUGAUCAGAAUGCGUUUAUUAAGGGUAGGCAGAUUCUUGACGCUUCUCUAAUAGCAAAUGAAGUGAUUGACAAUUGGAAUAAGAAAGGGGACAAGGGGGUUAUCUGCAAGUUAGAUAUAGAGAAGGCCUAUGACAGCAUUAAUUGGCAAUUCCUCUUGAAAGUCAUGGAAAAAAUGGGAUUUGGCGCUAAGUGGCUGAGGUGGAUGUGGUGGUGUAUUUCCACAGCCAAAUUUUCAGUUAUGGUGAAUGGAACAUCAGCUGGCUUCUUCUCGAGUUCUAAAGGACUGCGUCAAGGGGAUCCCCUGUCCCCUUACCUUUUUGUCAUGGGGAUGGAGGUGCUAAGCGUCCUAAUCAGAAGGGCUAUGGAGGGGGGUUUCAUCUCAGGGUGCAAAAUUCAGCGUGAUAGAGGUUGGGCUGUCCACAUUGCUCAUCUGCUUUUCGCCGAUGACACUAUUGUCUUUUGUGAGGCAAAGAAGGAGUACUUAACGAAUUUAAGUUGGAUCUUGUUCUGGGUUGAAGCUGCGUCCGGAUUAAGAAUUAACUUGGCUAAAAGCGAGGUCAUUCCAGUAGGGGAGGUGAAAAGGAUAGAGGAGAUGGCUGUGGAGUUAGGGUGUAGGGUGGGGCAGCUUCCGUCUGUGUAUUUGGGGCUGCCGCUGGGGGUGCCUAAUAAGGCUACAUAUGGAUGGGAUGGGGUGGAAGAGAAAAUGAGAAGGAGGCUUGCUCUUUGGAAGAGUCAAUAUAUCUCAAAGGGUGGGAGAAUCACUCUAAUUAAAAGCACUAUGGGUAGCAUGCCAGUGUACCAGAUGUCGUUAUUCCGUAUGCCCAUUUCUGUGGCAAGAAGAUUAGAAAAAUUGCAAAGAGACUUCUUGUGGGGGGGACCUCAUGGAGAGGAAAACACAUCUGGUUAAGUGGGAUGUAGUGUGUGGGGAUAAGGAGAAUGGGGGGUUGGGAAUAAGGAAGUUUACUAUCAUGAAUAAAGUGUUUCUUGGCAAGUGGACUUGGAGAUUCGCUUCGAAUAAGGAGGCCUUUUGGAAGCAUGUGCUGGAGGCUAAGUAUGGUCAGGAGGAUUAUGGUUGGAGGACCAAAAAGGUUGUGGGUGCGUGUGGUGUGGGGGUGUGGAAGGAGAUCUUAAAGGAAGCUGGCUGGUGCUGGGAUAAAAUGGGGUUUAAUGUGGGGAAAGGUAUUAAAAUCAGUUUCUGGACUGAUGUGUGGUGCGGGGAUGCAGCGCUGUCCCAAAGGUUCCCGCAUCUCUACACCUUGGCGGCCAACAGAAAUGCAAAGGUUGAAGACCUGUGGGACCAGAAUGUUGGGAAAGGAGGCUGGAAUUUGUGUUUUAUAAGGGAUUUCAAUGAUUGGGAGGUGGAGUUGGUAGGUGAGUUGCUCCAAGCGUUGAGAGGAGUCAGGAUAACUUGGGAGGAUGAUUCAGUUUUUUGGAAGGGAGGGGGAAGUGGGCAGUUUAGAGUGAAGGAUGCGUACAGCUGGCUGGAUAGGGUCUAUGGAUGUCAAUUUUCNNNNNNNNNNNNNNNNNNNNNNNNNNNNNNNNNNNNNNNNNNNNNNNNNNNNNNNNNNNNNNNNNNNNNNNNNNNNNNNNNNNNNNNNNNNNNNNNNNNNGAAGCGACUUGGGGAAAGAUCUUGACUCUUGAUAGGCUCCAAAAAAGAUGUUGGCAGCUCCUGAAUAGGUUUUUUUGUGUGUUUGCGAAGCGGAAAGCGUGGAUCACUUACUUAUUCAUUGUACAGUGGCUAGAGUGCUUUGGGAUUUAGUGUUGGGCUUAGUUGGGAUCAAGUGGGUGUUCCCUAAUACUGUAAAGGAGGUUUUAUAUAGUUGGGGAGGGGGGGGGGGGGGUUCUUUUGUGGGGAAAAAAAAAAAAAAAAUUCUGGAAUUCCAUUCCGUUAUUCAUUUUUUGGAUGGUCUAAAAGGAAAGGACUAUAUUAACCUUUAGGGGGGAGGGGGAACCUAACAAUUUAAAGGUUUAAAUAUUCUUUUGUUUGUAAUAUUUGGGGUUGGGCUAAAUUGUAUAUGGAAGAGGAGCCGCAUUCCCUUUUAGAUUUCCUGGAGUGGUUUGCCUCCAGUUGAGGGGUGGUUUGUUUUUUUUUGGUUUUUUUGUUUGUUUUGGCCUUUGUUGCCUGGUAUUCGUCCUGUAUACGUUGGGGUUUUUUGCCUCUUUAAUGAAUUGUGCUUGCUUAUCAAAAAAAAUAAUAAGAAAUAAUAUCAAAUUUAGCAAUUGAUGGACAUUAUCAUUAAGUCACCAUUCCAAAUACCAAUAUUACAUUUAAUAAAUAGUAAAAAAUUCAAUAACUAAAUGUAAAAAAAUUAGUAAUAAAUAUAUAAUUUUAAUAUAUUUUUAGUAAUGUAAUAAGAAAUGACCUUUAAGUAUCAUAAUUGUUGGAAAUUAAAUCACUCCCAAACCAUAUAUAUAUAUUCGAUAAGCAAAUAUUAAUGUACUCAAUCUUAUAGACAACAAAAAAAUCCAUGAAAGUUAUGACAUCAAUCUAGCAAGGCUAACCUAGAAAAUAAAAUAUUCAUUUUUCAAAACCACUCAAAAUAAAAACUAAAAGUAGUUUCAAAUUUAUCAUAAUCAAAGUGCGUGAUCACUAACCAAUCUUACAAAACCACUCAAGAGGCGAACUAAAAAUAAUAUUGAUAUUUUUUAACAAAUGAUAAUAAAUCUCACAAAACAACAAAGUAUCCACAAAAUUUAAUAGGAAAAAAGCUCAAAUAUGAAUAUUUUUCUUUGAAGAAAUAAUAUAACCGAACAAAAUUGAUGUUAUAAAUAAAUUUAAAAAAAUAGAGCUCAAAAUACCUAUCUUUCAUAUGGCAACUCCUUUGUCAGUCAUGUGUUGGAACAUGUGACUAUAAUUAUCUCUUCUUUUUCUUUCUUUUGUUCGAGGAAUUUAAGAAUGGUACAAGCUUCUCUUUUCUUUUAUUUCUAUUCCCAGGUAUUGGACUUAAGGAAUGGUAGAGAAAGGCAUGUAAUCUCCUUCAAUUUGAGCAGAUCUCAUCUCUAAAUAAUUAAAAUACCCCAAGUAUGAUGCUUCCAAAUGUUGUAACUUUAUAGAUAAGUCAAAUUCUCAAGAAAACACAUCUCCAAAGGAGUCAAUAUGAGACCAACUUGAGACCAGAGCUCUAGGUUGUGCCAUAACACUGAUCUCAAGUGUCCGAAUAGACAACUGAUGGAGUAAUUGCGAAAAAGGAUGAAUUGCACAAAACUGAAACAUCAAGAGCCCAUGUCCUAUUAGCUGAAAAUGAUCUAUUUUCUUAUUCAAAAAUAAUAAUGAGGACUUUUAGCUGUGUAAACACCAACCCCUCCCUUUUAGCUGAUCCAAAGUUAAUUCUUCCCUAUGAAGGUUCCCAAGCCAAAAAGCUAACCCUCCUUGAGGACCCAAGGGUUCCACACAAUGCCUCAAGGGAACACAUUGAGUCUACAGAUAGGGGCGAGUAAUAAGAUUUAGCUAUAAAGAUGUCUCCCUUUGAUACCUACCAAACCAUGAAAUCAUCAAAACCCCCUUCUAAUUGCGUGCCCUUGCAACCUUCUUUCCACCUCUCCCAUCUCACAACCAAUAUUUUUUGAAAAAUGCAAGUUAAAGUUUCCUCAGUUAUCAUGCAUUUUUUUCUCACUCAUUCACAUUGUUGUGUCGUAUUGUUGCCAACAACUAGCACGAUAUUUCAAGCUUGCUCCUAACAUCUCCAACAUAUACACAAACCAUAGUUCAAGUUUUAGCUGAAACUGAUCAAUACCAAUUUUGGCAAGGGGAGAUAUGGAACCAUGUCUUAAUACAAGGAUAUGCAAGUGAAUUCUGUUAAUGCAAAGUUCAAAGCAAUGUACAAAUUAGUUUUGACACUUUGGCAAAGGACAACUCAAAUAAUUUGCCAGCCUUUGUGUCGGCCAUAUCGCACCAUAAUGACCAAAGACCUUAUUUUACUGUCAACUAUCUAUGCUCAAGAUUCUUCUUAAAUUAGGAGCAUAUCUAUUUUGGGGUCAUAAUAUGUUUUUAUGGCACAUUUAAUUGGAAGGCUAACUGCAUUCCACUUCAAGAAUCUAACUUUGGCAAAAGUACAGCCUUUUGGCAUGUCAGGAAUUUCUAUAACAGGAACAUUGUGUAUGAUUGACUGAAUAACAAAGAAUUGAAAAACUGACUUACUGAAUCUACCAAUGGAAAACGAAACCUUAAAUGCUGUUCCUUGUUGCACCAAAUACUGCAUAUUUCCAGUUAGAAGAACCCAUUUAUUACAGCUACAGGGAAAGAAAAAAGAAUCACCUGCUAGUUUUUAUGGUAUGAGGUCCAACACUCAGAAAUAAGGUAAAAAUGUAAGGCAUCCUUGAUGAGAAGAUUGUAUGACAGCGAGAGAAAGCACACCUGUACACAGUCAUGUUACCUCACAUGAAUGCUAACAAGUGUGCUCUCUCUCUUUGUCAAGCAAUUGCAUGUCAAAGCUUGAACUAAACAUCUGCAGAACAAGGAAACAUGCUAAGAAAAUAUAGUAGCAAACAUAUAUUAAACUGAGAAUUUUCUGAUAACCAUGGUUUGCUCACCAAGGUGAUGGACUAUAAUGUAAAGAUGCUUUAGAAUCUCAAAAUGCAAUAAGCUGUCAAAAGCCUGCAAUUUGUUUUUUUUUUUUUUUUUUGGCAAAACAAACACCAUCCCAUGCUCGCUUCCCCAAAAUCAUCUUAAAAGCAUAAGCAAGUCCUCGAAAAUUAGUAGGAAACCUCAAAGUGAUUGAGCUCCCUUAUUCAUCUUAAAAGCAGCAAAAGAACAUCCACUAACCCAAAGUCUUUCUAGACUCAAAUUUACAAAUUAAUGAUAUCUAUAUCAACAACAAAAGAAUAAAAAUAAGUAAACAAAUAUAGACUAUCAAUCAAAUCCAAUUGCAUAACAAGUUCACCCAGAUUUUUCAGGCAUGAAAUUUCAAAUAAUAAAUAGAUUCCACAUCAUGCAAUAAAUUAAACAAGCAUAGCAAAGAAAGAGUUUAACCAAAUUGUCACAGUUUAUUAAUUUUCUUUAUAAGCAGCAACAGCACAUGUACAUAAAGACAAGACCACAUGCAUCAAAACAAAGACAGAUCGAUACCACUCCGAACGCAUGGACACCACAACAAGCUUAACACUCUACUUCAGAAGCCUAGCUAUAGCUCUUUCUUUUAGCAAAUUGAACUUGGAGCUUUCUACUAGAGGAAUAGUCACAAAAAAUCAAGGAAAACCAACAUAAAAACCUUAACUAGCUCCCUAUUUCUCUGCAACUAACAACAAGCAAGACCAAAAAAGGGCACAGAAAAAUUAUCCAACAGUUAAAUUUUGACAUAUAAAAGGAAGUAGUAUCACAUGCAUGGUAACAUUGAAAUAAGAGGUGAAUCUACCCCUUAUAAGCCUAUGAUUGAAAUGUUAAGUUUCUUAAGUAGGUAUAUCAUCAAAAACCUAAAGCAAUAUCUAUUGUCAUUGAUUACAAAACUAAGCAAGAAUCACUACCAAAAUAUAAAAACAACCAUCUGAAACUGCCAGAAGCAUAAAAAAAUUUCCACAGUUAUUGAUUUUAAAACAAAUACAAAACCCAAAUAUUGGUAUGAAAGCACGUUUUAGAGUCUAUCACUCGUUAAAAUUGUAAAACCGAAACUUUUCCACAGCAAAAUGCCACUGGCAGCAAACCCAACAUCUUCCAACCCCGAAAUCUGAAAACACGGCCUGAAUCAUGGGUAUAACAAAUUGAAAAGCAUAAUAACUAGUUCCGACUCCAAAAGACUAAAUGAGCGAGUACCUAAUAUAAUCCGAAGGGUUUGCAAAAAUAAAGAAAGAAAAAAAGGGUUCAUCCACCAUAUUACCUUGAAAACCCUAACCUUCCGUUUGGUUGCUGAGAAAGCCAUGUAAAACGCAUGAAAAUAAAAUGCUUAAUAACAUGCUUUAUACCGUUUUAGCUUCCNNNNNNNNNNNNNNNNNNNNNNNNNNNNNNNNNNNNNNNNNNNNNNNNNNNNNNNNNNNNNNNNNNNNNNNNNNNNNNNNNNNNNNNNNNNNNNNNNNNNGCCAAAUAGAUCUAUCCACUUCAACAACAAGAUUCAUUUCCUCGUGGGUUUCAGACAAUGGAAAACCACCCAUAUACAAUCAAACAACCUUUUUCUUUUCCUUUCCUUUCCUUCUUUUCCUUUCCUCCAUUUUCUCCGCAAACAAACACGAUAUAGUAGACUCAGGCAUGCACUUCAACAGAACCAAAAACAGCACACGAAAUGCAGAAAACUAAUAAAAAGUUACAUCAGAAUAGAUCAAAUGGACAAUACCAUGCACUGUGAUUCCCAGAUCUACUACCAACAAAAUCUCAAAACUCAAAACCCAUAAAACAAAAAAAAUAAAAAAUAAAAAAAUAAAACAAAAAAAAGCAACAGAAACACCAAAAAUAACAACAAUAAUUGGGAAGAUGAUCACCUUCAUCAUCACAUACAGAUAACCAUUCUGAAGAAAUACACAGAGAGAAUGAAAAUUUUUCAGGAGAUUUCAGAGCCUUUUUAUAGCAAGAGAAAAAACAGACAUGGAGGAAACCUAGAGUGCUCCCGUCUUUUUUCGACCUUAUGUUGACUGCUCCCGUCUUUUCCGCCCUACAUGUUGAGUCUUCGACAGCCAUAAAUCAUCCAUGUAGCCUGCCACCUUUAUAUGUACCAUUUUUUUUCAAUGGUCAUAAAUCGUUUAUGACAGAGCCAGAGCUAGUUGAAACUUGAAAGGGCAGCUUUAAAUUGAAGGGGUAAAGCCCUUCAAAGGAAGCGGAUUAAAAUGAUGAAAAUAUGGUUGGAGAGUUGACCAUCGGAUAAAAUGUCGGCAUCUCGAAAGUUGGUAACAAACCAGCACCCUCGGUCAUUGACUUUAGGCCAUUCAUGCAGUGUACAGGGUACGGCAGUUUUAAAAUAUAAUUAGAAAAUUAGAAAAUUAUGAGAAACGAUUUUUUCUUUUUUCUACUGAAAAUUUAUAAAUUGCAUGUAUAGUGGGAAUCAAGUUGGCCUUGCAAUUGGGAUAUCUGCUGGUGACAAAUUAUGGGUUUUUCGAUACAUUCUAGAGGUAUUUAUUUUAUAAUUAUUUUAUGGGUUACAACUUUGUAGGUUAUAAUUAUUUUAUGCUUCUGAGAACUAUGACCAUUUUUUUUUUCAAACAAUUGUAAAAGAAAAAAAAUUAUCGAUCAAUGUAUUUUCUUUAUAUUUUUAUUUUUAUUUGAGAAAAAUAUACUGAAAAUCUUUUACUAUUUUCUCUCAUUUGUUAAUUACUUGAACUACUUCUCUCCUUUCUUUAUAUUUUUAUUUUUAUUUGAGAAAAAUAUACUGAAAAUCUUUUACUAUUUUCUCUCAUUUGUUAAUUACUUGAACUACAUCUCUCCUAACCAAUUUCUCAGCAUAAAAUAACAUUCGCAUUUGUAAAAAUUACCCUCAUCCUUCAAAAAACAUAAAAAUGUCCCUCAACAAAAAUAGCUCUCAAGCUUUUUAUUUUUCUCCAAAACAAGGUUUCUUUUAUUUUCAUCAUACUCUUUUAUUUAUUUUUUCUAAUAAAGAAAGUUGAGCUUCUCUCAUUUACUCUUCAUUGCUGGUAACUAAAAUAAAUUAAAAGAGGCUAAUAAUUAAGAUUAUUUUUUCUUCACAUUUUUAUUCUUUAUAUAUUCUUUUUCUUCUAUGAUAAAAACAAAUCUAAAAACCUUACUUUACUAUUGUAAACUAAAAAAAAAAGGAACUCCUCAUUAUUAGCUAUAAAAAAUGACAUCAAAAGUCAAAUAAUGAUAGACAAUGAAUCUCAUGUAUGAAAAAUCAUAUUAAUUUCAACAUUAUUAAUGAAAAAUGACAUCAAAAGUCAAAUAAUGGUAGACAAUGAAUCUUGUGUAUGAAAAAUCAUGUUAAUUUCAACAUUAUUAAUCAAUUCUCAAUCAAAAUAUUCAAACUUAAUUUAACUAUGAUUGAGUUAAUUUAUAAAGACUUAAUUGGAGUUAAGUUUUCAAUCAAAAUAUUUACCUAGGUCUAACUAUGGUUAAGUUCCAUUUGAGAAGAACUUAACUAAGGUUAUGUUUUUAUUCACUUGAACUUAAUUAAGAUUUAGUUUUAUUUACAAAUAACUUAACAAGAGUCUAGUUCUCAAUUAAAAUAUUUAGCUAGACUUAACUAUAAUUGAAUUAUAAUUUAUGAUAAACUUAAAAGUUAAGUCAUUAAUAAAAAUAUUCAUUUGAAUUUAAAAUAUGGUUGUUUAAAUUUCAUUUGCACAUAACCAUUAGAUUAUGUUCAUAUUUAAGUUAAAAUUCUCAAUUUAAAAAUUUUAUGUGGACUUGAUUAUGAUUUUUAUUUAUAAAGAACUACCCACUAAGUUUUCAAAAUCAAAAUGUUUGCAAAAAUUUCACCUUAACUAUAGUUAAGAUGUACUUAUGAAGCUAUUCACCUAAAAUUUGAUCGAUCAUGUAUGUAUCAACAAUAUGCAAAGUGUUAAUAACAAAAUAUAUAAUAUUCUAAUCAAAAUGUUCACUUGGUUUGAAAAUAUGUUUUUACCAUAUCAAACUAUAUUAAAAAAAUUAAAAUUUCAAAUACACAGUAAAAUUCCUUCAAAUUAAGAGUCAAUCCUCAACAAAUAUGAACUCAUUAUAUGAGCAGCUUUUGAAAACAAAACAAUUGUCUUGUCAUUUUCUUUGGAAACCAGUUUAUACGAACCUUGAUUAAUGAGCUAGAUAGAUGGUAAUACAUCAAUUAUUCUCUAUAUUUGAUUAAGAACAGUCCACAAUCAUAUUGCAUGAAAAAUCAAUUAUCAAAAUUAAGAUUAUUAUUGAAAAUAAUUAUAUAAAACAUAAUGGUAAAAUGACGAGAUGAAAGUUUGAAUGUGUAUUCAUAUUCAUGUUGAUAAACAUUAUGCAAUUGUUCCAUGUGCGUAUCACCAUUUUCUCUAUAUAUAAUACACCACAACAUAUAAUACAAGAGAUAACAAACUAGUUAAAUGUGUGAUGACACCCUUCACUAGAUUAUCACAAUUAAUAUCUAUUAAUGAGACAUAUUAAUAUGGGUUCCAAGAAAAUUGUAUUUAUUCAAGAUAACAAAUGAUAUGGGUUGAAAGAUGAUAUUAAACAUCCUAAAACAUCCAAAAGAACCUAGAAGCCAAGUUAUGUUUUACAUUAAUAAUUUAUGAAGUGUAGCUUCUUUGAAAAUUUUAUUUUAGAUAUCCAAGUUAGAAAUUCUUUUGUUGAUCGAAUAAGUUCUCAAUUUAUUUAUCCAAAUAGCUUUUUUAUUUAAUUUUUUAACAUCUACUUUUAAGUUAUGCUAAGCAAAUUUAUUUUUCAAUAAAAAUUUCUUCACAAAUUUAUUCCUAAAAAGUGUAAAUUUAAUCCUAAUAUAACAUUUUUUUCCUAAGCUUUCUAUUAUUGAAUUAUCCCUACUAUGAAUCAUAGUCUAGCUCCUCUAAACACUACAUAAUAGUCAUAUAUUAAAAGACACUUCACAAAGACUCUAAAACUAAUAUUUCAUCAUGAAAAAAAAUAUGAAAUAUCUUUUAAUAUUAAUUAUCAUUUAAAACUACUAUACAAUAUAAGAAAACUCGUGCACAAUUUCCCAACAUCAUAGAAUUUGGAAAGCUUAGAUUUGAUCAAGAUUAGAAAAAUAAGAAGCACUUAACUACAGUCACUCAUAAAAGAAAAGUAAUUAUCAAACUAUAAAACUUAUUUUUGUAUACUAUAUUGUAAAAUGUUAUUCUCCACUUAUAUAAAUAACUUAAUUUCAAACAUAAAUGUGUAUUCUCAAUCAAUAUAUAUUCUACACAAGCAAGAAACAAAUUCCUAAAAUCUCUAAAAAUCCAUAAUUUUUUGUCUUAAAAUAGAAAAUAAACUCAAAUCAAAUGCUAAAAAUGUUAUCUAAUUCAUUAUAAAUUCAAAUCUAGUAAUAAUGAGAAUAUUUUAAAAAUUAUAAAUAUGUCAUUUAUUAUUUAAAACACACAUCAUACCUACUUUCCUAAAUUUUUAAAAAAAAUUAAGUAGUAAAUCAUUACAUAACAUUGUCCUACAAAUCAUAGUUGUUAUAUAUUAUCAAUUCAUUAAUUUGAAACAUACAUAAAUUCCCAAAAAUUUUAAAAUUUAGAAAACAAAGACUAUAGUACUUAUGAACUCAUUGACGACUAGUGGGUUGUGUUCUCUUUGUUAUUCUGAAGUCUCUCUCUUAUCACUUUUCAAAAACUUAUUUUUUGCUUCUUACUUGAAGAUUAGGCAUGAAGCAUUUUCAAAGAUGAAAGUACAACUAAAUCAAGAAGGGAAUAAGAAGUGAUGAAGGUUUUCUAGGGUUUUCAUUCUUUACCUCUAAAAGAGAAAGGAAAAUUUUGAUGGUUUGAAUUAAGAGAGAGAUGAGAAGUGAGAGAGGUUUGUUACAAUUUUCAAAGGGGUUUCUAUUCUCUACAUUUGAAACUAAAUGACGAAGAAUAAUUUGAAGGGUGAUUGAUUUCAAAAAGUGAAGAAGUUGAAAGUGCAGAAAAUAGCUUGGAGUUUCACACAAGAGUAAUAACGGUGUAUUCCAAGGAAACAAAAGAAAAAGAGGUUUUUUGUCCUACAAGGAUCAUUUUUAAUAUUUUUAAAGCAAAGGGUUAAUUAUGCAAAUAUAGAUGUUAUAACAACCCUUUUAACCAAAUAACCCUUUCAUGGACAUGUCUCAAACUCCGAUAUGAGAUUUUUUUUAACUUCCUAGAGCACAUUUUUUUCAUAAAAAAAUUUUGACACCAAGAUGAUAAUCUUUAAAAGCUUGAGGAAUUGAGGAUUCCAAUGGACACCCCCUAAACCCAAGCCAAACACAUGUAUCUUCCUUCACUCCCUCAAAGGAUAGGACAUCUCCUUGAAAGAUAUUACAAUAAUCUUAAAUAAUAAUAAUAAUAAAAGUAGUCUUAGUGACAAGGAGAUUAAAGUUUUUAGAUUUCAAAACAUCAUUGAUGAGAAUGGUUUGUUAAUUUUGAGAUUCGAAGAACAAUAGCAUAAGUAUAAUAUUAAUAAUAAAAAAUAAAAAUAAGAAAAAAAAGGUUUAAACUAUAUGUUUAUAUAUUUUUGUAAUAUAAACACAAAUUUGGUUAUUAUAUAAAGUUUCAACAUUAUGAAUUCCUUUUCAAAGUAAAUAAAAUGUAUGAAAAGCAUAAUAUUCCUUUGAAUACUUAUUAGAACAUAGUUCAUAAGCAAUAAGAUGAUGAAAUAAAGAUCAUGUCUAGUUUACACAUCAUGCGCAUAAAUCACUUACAUAACUCAUAUUCAACUUCUCAUUCAAAUAUGCAAAGCACACUCAACUUGCAAAAUUUAUGAUUUAAGAUGAUUCAAAAUAUAAGAAUAGGAUUAACAUUCAUAUUGUAAUUAAUAAUCUUUGGAAUUGUAGAAUGAACUACACAUUAUGUUUUAAAUGCAAAAUUAUAGAUUGAUUUUCGAGUUACCUUACCCCAAAUCCCCACUUCAAAAUAAUUUAUGUUCCUUCCAAUUUAGUGAUAAAACUUCUUCACAAUUUCCAAGAGUUCAUAAUUCCUAAGGAUAAAUAUACACCUAUGCUAGCCAAAUUAAAGGAAUAAUUAUAGUGAAUCCUCCACAUUAUAGUUCAAUCAUCUACUAGUUCUUAAAUGUUUAGCUCAAAGUAAGUUGUUUCAACUCUUUCCACCCUUUAUGACAAUGGAAGGAAUUGGACUCAAAGUUUUUCCAAUCAUAUUGCUCUAGACUAUCGGCAACAAUUUUGCUUCACAUACUCAAUUCAAGAACAACUCAAUAAAGCUAGAAUAAGUAUCUUCAAUAGAAACUACACACAAACAAAUGUUCAAUCUCAAUUUACCAUUCAAUACCAUGUUUUGAUUAUCUUUUUGCAGGCUUAAACUCAUAUUUUUAUUUUGAAUUUGCCAAUCCACUUUUGACCAAUGAGAUUUUAUGUUUUAUUUCCAAAGCUAUGGAUGUUUCUAAUGACAACUCAAAACUCUAUCAAAUCUCUUUGUGCGACUUUGUCAAAUAUGAAACCCCUUAUUUUAUUUAUUUACUUUUUUUUUAAUAGGUAAAUCAAUUGUAUUAGAAGUGCCUAAUGUAGGGUACACAAAAGUGUACAUUAUGUAUACAAGUUACUAAAGGCCAAAAAAGAAGAGGUAUACAUAAAAAAACACCCUCGCCUCACUUACAAUCCAGCCAAACAAUAAAAUCAAAUAAUGACAAUGAGUUAAAACCCAAAUGCACCGUAAAGAGGGGACACAUAAAAAAUAACACUCGCUUUAAUUACAAACCAGCCAAACAAAAUCAAAUAAUGACAAUGAGAUAAAACUUAAAUGCACUCUAACCCAAUCCAAGAACAUGUACAUAAAGGACCGCAUAAUUACUUGGCCUGCCAUUUCAGAAUCAUCGAAGGCUUUCUAAUUUCACUACUUCCAAGUGGCCCAAAAUAAGCACAAAGAAGUUUCUCUCCACAAUUCCUUUUCUUCCCUACAAAAUCUCCAUACCAACUAAGAAGGGCAUCAUUGAUUGAGAUGGCUGCACCCACUAAACACCAAAUAGAGCAAAAAUAAGCUACUAAAGCAUUGCUACUUUAGGGUAAUGAAGGAUGAUAUGAUUUGUUGAUUCCUUUUCUCCUUUAAAAAACAACACCUGCUCCACAAAUACCAACCCCCCAUUUUUAGCUGAUCCAGAGGUAGAAUUCUUCCUAACAAAGCUUCCCAAGAAAAAAAGCUAUUCCCCAUCAAGACCAAAGGGUUCCACACAAUGCUCAAAGGGAACACUUGGAAUAGUCUGCAAAUUGCUAGGGAUGAAUAAUAGGAUUUAACUGUAAUGAUGUCUCCCUUUGGCAUUGUCCAAACCUUAACAUCCUCAAAACCGCUUCUAAUCACGCGCCAUUGCAACCUUCUGAAAUAAAGCUUCCAUCUCCCCCUACUCCUAAUCAUUAUUCUUUGAAAAGUGAAGGUUAAAGUUUCCUCGAUUGUGCAUUUUUUUCUUGCACACAUUCACAUUGUUGCCAAAAACUAGUAUAAUAUUUCAAGCUUGUUCCUAACAUCUCCAACAUAUGGACAAACCAUAGUUCAAGUUUUAGCUGAAACUGAUCAUCACCAAUUUUGGCGAGGGGAGAUCUGGAAUUAUGUAGCAAUAGAAGGAUAUGCGAGUGAAUUCUCUUAAUGCAAAGUUCAAAGCAAUGUAAAAAUGAUAGAUCAGUUUUGAGCCUUUGGCAAAGGACAACUCAAAUAAUUUGCCAGCCUUUGUGUCAGCCAUAUUGAACCAUAAAGAGCAAACACCUUAUUUUAAUGUCAACUAUCUACGCUCAAGAUUCUCCAUAAAUUAGGAGCAUAUUUAUUUUGUAGCCAUGAUAUGUUUUUAUGACACAUUAAUUGGUUACACUAAAUUUCAGUACUUCCUGACAUCUCCAAAGGUGUUAUGUAAUUACGAACAAGAAAAAUGGAAGGGGGACUGCAUUCCACUUCAAGAAUCUAACUUCAGCAAAAGAACCUACGUUUUGGCACAUCAGGAAGUUCUAUAACAGGAACCUAGUGUAUGGUUGACUGAACAACACAGAAUUGAAAAACCGAAUUACUGAAUCCACUAACAGAAAACUGUACCUUAAAUUAUGUUCUUUGUUGCACCAAAAAUUGCAUAUUUCCAGUUAGAAAAAGAACC